GGGGGAUAUUGCACAAUGGAGGAAACUCUGAUGCAGCAACGCCGCGUGAGGGAAGAAGGUCUUCGGAUUGUAAACCUUUGUCCUUGGUGACGAAACAAAUGACGGUAGCCAAGGAGGAAGCUCCGGCUAACUACGUGCCAGCAGCCGCGGUAAUACGUAGGGAGCAAGCGUUGUCCGGAUUUACUGGGUGUAAAGGGUGCGUAGGCGGCUCUGCAAGUCAGGCGUGAAAACUAUGGGCUUAACCCAUAGACUGCGUUUGAAACUGUGGAGCUUGAGUGAAGUAGAGGUAGGCGGAAUUCCCGGUGUAGCGGUGAAAUGCGUAGAGAUCGGGAGGAACACCAGUGGCGAAGGCGGCUUACUGGGCUUUAACUGACGCUGAGGCACGAAAGCAUGGGUAGCAAAC
rnacentral:rRNA from 1 species